AGGCGCUGCGGGAGGCCACUGGUGCUCAAGCACCUCGGAUUCCCGCUCAUACAGCCGGCCGGAUCAUGUGGCAGUCAGGUGGCGACCACUAUCUAGCCCAACGUUGCUGGAGUUGUUGCAGCUCUGCCGGGCCCACAUAUCAGCGUUCGUGCAUGACGGUGAGUUGCCACCCAUGGCAUCUCUGGACCAGUUGCAGGCCAGAUUUGGGAACAGCCCGCCUGGCUCCCUGUCCUCCCUGAGGCUGAUGCAGGCAGACAGCCUCCUGUGGAUGGGUCACAAAAUGACUGUGCAGCAGCCGAAGGCCCCUGGAACCCAGACAGAUGUGCUACUGGCUGACCUUCAGCACUGCAGGCAGCAGAAGGGCUACCCCUGGGGAGGCCCAGGCCCAGGGCUUCCCCCGCCCCCUGAACUACACCCAUGGCUGCCACUUCAGCUGAUCUGCGGUGACAUGCCCACCACCACCUCAGACCUCUACAGCUUCUGCAUCCUGAUCCAGGAGGUCUUCACUGAGAAACUGUACAUCAAGUGGCUCACAGAGCCAAGACCACACCCAGGCCUGUGGCCCCUGUGAUGUCCCCAGGCCCCAUCCCAUGCCAGGCACCCGGUACUGAGCUGACUAGAGGAGGUCUCUUCUCCAGCCUGCAGAAGUGAGACCCGAGGCCUUGGAUGGGAGGACCCCAGGUAACCCUAGGUCUUUAUCCCUGAGGUAACCCUAGGUCUACCUGUGCCUCACUGCUCCCCAGGAUGGACCUGCUGGAGGAGAUCAUAGCAGAGCUACAAAAAGGAUGUCAGCUUGGAGAAAAGCCCAGCCUGAGCCCCACUCCUGACCUAGACUCCCAGGGUGCCCAUGGUUCCCCUCUCUGCAGAUACCACCUCUCAGAGGCUCCCAGGAGUAACUCCUGCCUUGGUGCCUCCCCAAAAGGAAAUAGAAUGAUAAAGUGCCCCCUC
ensembl:lncRNA TEX14BP testis expressed 14B, pseudogene